rnacentral:misc_RNA from 1 species
CGACACUGGAGAAAUUCUGAAAUAAUAUAUUCCUACUAAAAUUGACUGGUGGCUACUUUUUCAGAAAGUAUGAACCAUCUCUGAAUUCAAGUUUUUCUUCUGAUAUAAGGCCAGACAAAAAGCUUUGCAGUUGUUGUAAAGACUUAUCAUAAGAAGGUUCAGCAACACAGAACAUCUUCAGAGUGUUAUGUAUCCUAUCCAGCGUCAUACUGCCAAAAUUGGUAAGCAUCCCAACUAUGAAUUUCUCAUAUACAGUCAUUUCUUUCCGCAGUUGUUCCUCGGCGGAGGUCACAGAUCUCUCCCCU